CAUUGUGUUCUGGAGCAAAACACUUCAUUUCAUGUUGCUCCAGUCCACUCAGCUGGCAAAAAUGAAUUGUACUUGUAGUUCGAAAGGGCCAGUUUUGUCAAUUCUGUGUUAUACUGAAUCUCCCUAAGAAUUAAAUUAAGGCACACAUGUCUGUUAAGUUCUCAGCCACUUGCACAUUACUUUCAUGAGUAGGCUGUUCUGCUGAUCAGAUCAAC